rnacentral:rRNA from 1 species
ACGAACGCUGGCGGCGUGCCUAAUACAUGCAAGUCGAACGCUUCUUUUUCCAUCGGAGCUUGCUCCACCGGAAAAAGAGGAGUGGCGAACGGGUGAGUAACACGUGGGUAACCUGCCCAUCAGAAGGGGAUAACACUUGGAAACAGGUGCUAAUACCGUAUAACAAUCGAAACCGCAUAGUUUUGAUUUGAAAGGCGCUUUCGGGUGUCGCUGAUGGAUGGACCCGCGGUGCAUUAGCUAGUUGGUGAGGUAACGGCUCACCAAGGCGACGAUGCAUAGCCGACCUGAGAGGGUGAUCGGCCACAUUGGGACUGAGACACGGCCCAAACUCCUACGGGAGGCAGCAGUAGGGAAUCUUCGGCAAUGGACGAAAGUCUGACCGAGCAACGCCGCGUGAGUGAAGAAGGUUUUCGGAUCGUAAAACUCUGUUGUUAGAGAAGAACAAGGAUGAGAGUAACUGUUCAUCCCUUGACGGUAUCUAACCAGAAAGCCACGGCUAACUACGUGCCAGCAGCCGCGGUAAUACGUAGGUGGCAAGCGUUGUCCGGAUUUAUUGGGCGUAAAGCGAGCGCAGGCGGUUUCUUAAGUCUGAUGUGAAAGCCCCCGGCUCAACCGGGGAGGGUCAUUGGAAACUGGGAGACUUGAGUGCAGAAGAGGAGAGUGGAAUUCCAUGUGUAGCGGUGAAAUGCGUAGAUAUAUGGAGGAACACCAGUGGCGAAGGCGGCUCUCUGGUCUGUAACUGACGCUGAGGCUCGAAAGCGUGGGGAGCAAACAGGAUUAGAUACCCUGGUAGUCCACGCCGUAAACGAUGAGUGCUAAGUGUUGGAGGGUUUCCGCCCUUCAGUGCUGCAGCUAACGCAUUAAGCACUCCGCCUGGGGAGUACGACCGCAAGGUUGAAACUCAAAGGAAUUGACGGGGGCCCGCACAAGCGGUGGAGCAUGUGGUUUAAUUCGAAGCAACGCGAAGAACCUUACCAGGUCUUGACAUCCUUUGACCACUCUAGAGAUAGAGCUUCCCCUUCGGGGGCAAAGUGACAGGUGGUGCAUGGUUGUCGUCAGCUCGUGUCGUGAGAUGUUGGGUUAAGUCCCGCAACGAGCGCAACCCUUAUUGUUAGUUGCCAUCAUUUAGUUGGGCACUCUAGCAAGACUGCCGGUGACAAACCGGAGGAAGGUGGGGAUGACGUCAAAUCAUCAUGCCCCUUAUGACCUGGGCUACACACGUGCUACAAUGGGAAGUACAACGAGUCGCAAAGUCGCGAGGCUAAGCUAAUCUCUUAAAGCUUCUCUCAGUUCGGAUUGUAGGCUGCAACUCGCCUACAUGAAGCCGGAAUCGCUAGUAAUCGCGGAUCAGCACGCCGCGGUGAAUACGUUCCCGGGCCUUGUACACACCGCCCGUCACACCACGAGAGUUUGUAACACCCGAAGUCGGUGAGGUAACCUUUUGGAGCCAGCCGCCUAAGGUGGGAUAGAUGAUUGGGGUG